GGAGGCUCUGCUGUCCUCUCGAUCCCACCUUCAAGAGCUGGAAGAGGAGCUGGAGCACCAGAAGGUGGAAAGGCAGCAGCUUUUGGAAGACUUGAGGGAGAAGCAGCAAGAGGUCUUGCAUUUCAGGGAGGAACGCCUUUCCCUCCAGGAAAACGACUCCAGACUGAAGCACAAGCUGGUUCUCCUGCAGCAACAGUGUGAAGAGAAACAGCAGCUCUUUGAGUCCCUCCAGUCAGAGUUACAAAUCUAUGAGGCACUUUAUGGCAAUUCCAAGAAGGGGCUGAAAGAUUCAGCUGUGUCCCCUCCAGUCCGGGAUGUUGGUAUGAAUUCCCCAGCUCUGGUCCUCCCCAGCUCUGCUUCCUCUACUCCUGGCUCAGAAACGGCCAUAAUCAACAGAACACAUGGUAAAUAUGGCAACUAAAGGGCCCAGGGACUGAUGUUGGAAAGUGAUUAAUGCAAACAACCUUUUGUUGUCUCUAAACAUAUUAUCUGUAUUUAGAGAGUUUUCUCUGCAUGCCCCAAGGCCUUUAGCCCUACUCCCUGCACCUUCUGUGGCUGCCUUUCUUGCCAUUGUUCAUCCUCCUGUAGUUUUCCUACUGCUGUUUUUGCUUCAUUGCACCAUAAUCUCU
rnacentral:lncRNA from 1 species